GCGAGUUCACAAGCAAGUUCCCAAACCCGUGUUAACUUUACCGGCACCUUACGGUGCCCGUUGCCUGGGGCGGGCCCGGCUUCCCCUUCCCCCCCUAGCCGGGGGAGAGGGGCGCCGCCCGCCAAAGGACGCGUGGCCGCCCGAGAAACACCUAUGCAGUCUUCAGUGCCCGUCUGAGCAGACCACAGAAUGUCA
rnacentral:misc_RNA from 1 species